GACGAACGCUGGCGGCGUGCCUAAUACAUGCAAGUAGAACGCACAGUUUAUACCGUAGCUUGCUACACCAUAGACUGUGAGUUGCGAACGGGUGAGUAACGCGUAGGUAACCUGCCUGGUAGCGGGGGAUAACUAUUGGAAACGAUAGCUAAUACCGCAUAAUAUUAAUUAUUGCAUGAUAAUUAAUUGAAAGGUGCAAUUGCACCACUACCAGAUGGACCUGCGUUGUAUUAGCUAGUAGGUGAGGUAACGGCUCACCUAGGCGACGAUACAUAGCCGACCUGAGAGGGUGAUCGGCCACACUGGGACUGAGACACGGCCCAGACUCCUACGGGAGGCAGCAGUAGGGAAUCUUCGGCAAUGGACGAAAGUCUGACCGAGCAACGCCGCGUGAGUGAAGAAGGUUUUCGGAUCGUAAAGCUCUGUUGUAAGAGAAGAACGGGUGUGAGAGUGGAAAGUUCACACUGUGACAGUAUCUUACCAGAAAGGGGCGGCUAACUACGUG
rnacentral:rRNA from 1 species